rnacentral:lncRNA from 1 species
CAGAUCCUCCAAAAGGAGAAUAAUUCCAGAACUGAGAGUAACAUGGCAUUGACGAUGAGAAACCGUGACGUCCAGUAAUGGACCUCCAGCCAGUCCCAAGCAAAUUCGGCAAUCAGCUGGUACGGAAGGAAGGAGUAUUUCACCAGGAAUUCUCUCCACUGCUUCCAUGUGGGCUCCCUCAGAUCCUUUCCGAGUAACAAACAGAAAAGGACCAGAAGGCUUGCCCCAAAAGUACCAACGCAGAGGACCUUGCCCCCUAAUGACCAACUAGACACACAGAACCACCCCCAGUCAAUGGGCUCCACCGACGACUCUGCAGACCAGGCUCCGGCUGCUCUCCAACUCCCCCUGAGCCGAGGGACAGCAGCGAGACCCGGCCCAGGGCCCUCUGCAGACCCACCAGCAGCCUGGUGAUGAUGUCCUCGCUGGAGCCGCCUUCCUGCAGAGGGCAGAUGGUGUGGAUGAAGGGCAGGAAGGUGUCCGUGUAGUCGAACAGGUAGAGGUACAGCAGGCCGAGCCUGGGGGAGCUCUUGAGGGUGUAGAGCAGGAACAGCGACCUGCCGGGGUUCACGGCCUGCAGUGGACGAGAAGGGGGGACUCACUACCCCCCCCCGGCCCCCCCCCACCUCCCCUCGCUCCUUCUGGUCUCCCGUCCCCGCCACUCGCUUGCCCUAACACCGAAUGAAUGAGUGAGUGAAUGAAUGAAUGGGAAGAAGCGGCCCAGGGAUCCACGUGGCGGGCUGCAUCAUCUGAAGAGCCAGGGUCUGUCCACGCUGGGGAGGGAGGCGGAUGAGAAGCAGGCUCCUAGACACUGUGAGAAGAGCACAAUCUUUGGGGAAAGUAAUGGGUGGCAUCACUUAAUAAAGACGAUGUGAAAUUCGGAAGGCCUCAUGCACAUUUCGAGUGCUGCACUGUGUACAGCAGAGAAGAUGGACCGUCAGGGACCUCAGUCCUGAAGUGACAUCGGUGUUGAGCCCAGAAUUCACACAGCCAUUGAGGAAUGCACAGAAGGGGCUUUCGAGCUCACAUUACAAUGUUAGGUGAAAAACAGAUUCAAAGACACACAGCUGUCCCAUCUCAACAGGGUCAGGGCCCUGGAAGCAGGGCCUGCCUGGUUCAGGACUGAGAUCCCCUUUCUAAGGGAGCGCUUGGCUCAUAACAGCUGUCAGUAUCUAUCUGUGGAACGAAUACAUAAAAAAAGGGCUGGAGGAGUUCCCGUUGUGGCUCAGUGGUAAGGAACCUAACUAGUAUCCAUGAGGAUUGAUACCUGGCCUCGUUCAGUGGGUUGGGGCUCUGGUGCUGCCGUGAGCUGUGGUGCAGGUCGCAGACAUGGCUCGGAUCUGGUGUUGCUGUGGCUGUGGUGUACGCCCAUGGCUGUAGCUCCAAUUUGACCCCUAGCUUGAGAACGUCCAUGUCCCAGGU